rnacentral:rRNA from 1 species
UCGAGAAUCUUCCGCAAUGGACGAAAGUCUGACGGAGCGACGUUUCGUGAAUGAUGACGCCCUUCGGGGUGUAAAGUUCUUUUAUAUGGGAAGAAGCGCAAGCAGACUGUACCAUAUGAAUAAGAGGAUCCUAAUUCUGUGCCAGCAGGAGCGGUAAUACAGAAUCCUCGAGCGUUACCCGGAUUUAUUGGGCGUAAAGGGUCCGUAGGUGGUCAAGUAAGUUAAGAGUUAAAACUCAUCGGCUCAACCUUUGAGGUGCUCUUAAUACUGCUAGACUAGAGGAUGUUAGGGGUGAACGGAACCGACGGAGUAGGGGUGAAAUCCGUUGAUAUCGUCGGGAACACCAAAAGCGAAGGCAGUUCACUAGGACAAUCCUGACACUGAGGGACGAAAGCGUGGGGAGCAAAAAGG